CCGGCCCUCCAUACAAUUUCAGAAACCCGAUGUGGCCCUCAGGCCAAAAAGUUUGCCCGCCCCUGGGCUAGAUUAAGAUAUUCCUAAAUCACUGCUUUCAUCUGGGAGUCCAAGAGCACCAAUGGAUCAAGAAAGCCCAAAACUGAGUUACUCUUACUAGCACCUAGGCCCACCGGAGAGGUUUUUUAAGGAACUUGAAGAAAAGGGCCUCCAAGGAGCAGUCUUGGAAUUGGGUAAGAUAGUAGCCUAGGAGAAGGGUCCUUGGAACUCCCUACACCUCUAGAGGGAAAAGGGUUGGGGAAACAGCCGAAGAGGCUGGAGUUCACAUUCUGCAUUGAAUAACCUAAGAUGACCUCAGGAGAGAAGAAACACUUCUGCCCAGACAGAGAGAUGGAGCUGCCCAGCUAAGAGGUGCAACCGCUGAUGGAAUAGAGUGUCCAGUUCUGGUGUCCACAAUUCAAGAAGGAUGUUGAUAAACUUGGAGACAGUUCAGAGAAGAGCCACAAGAAUGAUUCAGGGGUUCUCAAACUUUUUUUGCUGGGACUCCCUUUGAAAAUAUUUCAGGCUGUGACAACCACCCUCAAAAAGUGACAACGCUCCCCAUAUCACGCCAUUCUUACUUUUGCACUGUUGCUGGUAGCGGCGCUACCUUCAGAGCUGGGCACCUGGCCAGUAGUCGCCGUUCUUCUGAUUCCCCUAUAAUAGUCUUGACCCCCACCCCUUUUGAGUUGGGACCCCACAGUUUAAGAAACAUUGGAUUAAAGGAUUAGAAAACAUGCCUUAAAGUGUCAGAUUCAAGAAGCUCAAUCUAUUUAUCUUAACAAAGAGAAGGAUAAGUGGUGGUGAUUGGUCCAUAAGUACCUAUAAGGAGAACAAAUAUUUGACAAUGGGCUCUUCAGUAUUGCAGAGAAAGGUGUAACACGAUCCAAUGGCUGGAAAUUGAAGCUAGAUAGAUAAAGACCCGGUCUACAGUACAAAAUUAAGUCGAUCUAACUUACGUCAGCAAUACAGCUGCCACAAUAAUCACAUUGCUUGGGCAUGUCUAUGCUUUGCUCUUUGUGUCAACAGUGCACUUCCUUACCAAGAGCGCUUGUAUCAAUUGUCCUGUCUGUGCGGGACAUUGUGGGACAGCUCCUGAAAGCCAGUAACAGUCGACGUAAGCAAUACAGUCUCUACACUGACACUGCAUUGACCUAAUUACAUUGACUGUGUCUCUACACCUUUCAGAGAGGUGGUAUUAUGAAGUUGGCAUAAAGAGGCAUGUACAUUGGCGGGACCCAAAUUUAAGCGAAGACAUUUCCAAAGUUAGGUUGACAUAAGAUGCCUUGUGUUGACUUAACUCUAUUGUGUAGACCAAGCCUAAAUCAGCGUAACUAUGUUGCUCAGGGCUGUGAAGAAUUCACUCCUCUGAGUGGCACAGCUAAGAUGACCUGACCCCUAGGUCAACUGAAGAAUUCUUCUGUUGACCUCACUACCUCCUGUUGGGGAGGUGAAUUACCUAUGUCGACAGAAGAACCUUUCCCAUCAGUGUAGGUAGUGUCCACACUGAAGUACUACAGUGGUACAUCUGCAGCAGUAGAGCAUUUCAAGUAUAGAUAAGCCCUUACACUGGAAAUAAGGCACACAUUUUUAAGUGAGGGUAAUUAACCACUGGAACAGUUUUCCAAAG